UUUCACUGUGGAGUUGCCUGGUUAGAUAUCCUCAAAUGUGAAAGCCUCCUAUCUCACGUCACGCUUUCUCCCUCUUUUUAUUCUGUCUUCCCCCUCUCAGUGGAUCGUAUCUGGGCCUGGAUAAGGUUGCAGGAUGUCUGAGAUGCCUGGUGCCUUUAAGACCGUAAGGGCAUGUUCCGCACGGUGGGCCAGCUUUACAAGGAGCAGCUGUCCAAGCUCAUGCCACUCUGAGGAACACCAAUCCCAACUUCGUCCGCUGCAUCAUCCCCAACCACGAGAAGAAGGCUGGUAAGCUAGACCCCCACCUGGUUCUGGACCAGCUGAGGUGUAAUGGUGUUCUGGAGGGGAUCCGUAUCUGCAGACAGGGCUUCCCAACCGUAUCGUCUUCCAGGAGUUCAGACAGAGGUACCGUGAACACUCCCAUUGGGCUGUAUACAAAUGUCUAUUUUCACCAGUUCCCAAUUUAACCUCAUAUUGUUGUUGCAUCAUGCUGUGUAUGGGCUUUUAGUGAGUUGAGUCCAACUGAUGAUCCCAUGCAUAUACCUUUUCUCCUCUAAGGUAUGAGAUCCCACUCCCAACCCAUCCCCAAGGGCUUCAUGGAUGGCAAACAGGCCUGUGUGCUCAUGGUAAGAGAAGGGCAUAUAUAUCUUGUUCUAGAACAUGGUCACCUCAUUAGAAUGAAGAGAUGAAUGUUUGUCAGUUUAGCUGAUUGUAUACCUCACCCUCCUGUCAGAUCAAAAGCUGGAGCUGGAUCCCAACCUGUUCAGGAUUGGUCAGAGUAAGGUGUUCUUCAGGGCUGGAGUGCUGGCCCACCUGGAGGAGGAGAGAGACAUGAAGAUCACUGAUGUCAUCAUCAGCUUCCAGGCCUGGUGCAGAGGCUACGUGGCCCGCAAGUAAGGAGACCCUGACUUCAACUGUCUAUCAUAUGGCUGCAGUGGAAAGUUUCUGAUGUCUUAUAACUGUAUUUGGACGAUACCAAAGUGUUUCUCGCUCUCUCUCUGCUUGCUCUGCAGGCCUUUGCCAGGAGACAGCAGCAGCUGACUGCCAUGAAGGUGAUCCAGAGGAACUGUUUGCCUACCUCAAACCAGGAACUGGCAGUGGUGGAGACUCUUCACCAAGGUACACAUUAUACUUAUGCUAAUGUUGUUCCUAUAC
rnacentral:lncRNA from 1 species